AUUGAACGCUGGCGGCAGGCCUAACACAUGCAAGUCGAGCGGAUGAAGAGAGCUUGCUCUCUGAUUUAGCGGCGGACGGGUGAGUAAUGCCGAGGAAUCUGCCUGGUAGUGGGGAUAACGUUCCGAAAGGAACGCUAAUACCGCAUACGUCCUACGGGCGAAAGCAGGGGACCUGCGGGCCUUGAGCUAUCAGAUUAGCCUAGGUCGGAUUAGCCAGUUGGUGAGGUAAUGGAGCACCAAGGCUACGAUCCGUAACUGGUCUGAGAGGAUGAUCAGUCACACUGGAACUGAGACACGGUCCAGACUCCUACGGGAGGCAGCAGUGGGGAAUAUUGGACAAUGGGCGAAAGCCUGAUCCAGCCAUGCCGCGUGUGUGAAGAAGGUCUUCGGAUUGUAAAGCACUUUAAGUUGGGAGGAAGGGCAGUAAGUUAAUACCUUGCUGUUUUGACGCUACCGACAGAAUAAGCACCGGCUAACUCUGUGCCAGCCGCCGCGGUAAGAC
rnacentral:rRNA from 1 species